GGGUGUCGUGUCGACGAACGCGGGGAGAGCCUUGCAUAUCCCGCCCCACCGCGUAGCUUUGGCGCCUCGUCUUCGAGUCUUGUCAAACAACUAUCAUACUAUUAUAAUUUAUACUGUAGAUAUGUAGGUAUCUCAAUAACACUAUUCUAAAUUAUACGAACAACGCUCACCGAGUUACUAAACCUAAAAUAAUUAUCAUGAUGUUUGUUAUUCGUAAAGGUCGUCGUGGGUGAACACAACCGCCGCCGCCGAGAGAACGGCCUCCCGAGGAGAACUCCGGCCUUCACGAUAUAAUGUUGUUUAUUACGCGUUUACGUAUGACAGUGUAU